rnacentral:lncRNA from 1 species
AGUAUUCAUUCCAGCUUUUAAACACCUUUGACCAAACCAACUGAAUGCAUCUUUAGCUUAGUAACUAAGUCUACUCCAAGGUUGUUCAGGAACACCAAAUGACGAAGCACCAAGCCUGUUUGGGCAUGUCAAUGGACAGUUGAUCAUUAAGUCAUUCAUUGGAUUGUUUCAACUAAAAAUCAAGUCAACGUUAGUUUAAUUUACUUACAAUCAAUUUGAGGCUAUUCGGCUGGAACUUUGGCAGCCUAUAAAUAGCUAUUUUGUAAACAAUUUGAAGGUUACUUAGCUUUUGAUAUUUUAUGAAAUAUAACAAAUUUUGUGAGUUGUUCACUCUCAUUAUUCUUCGAGAUUCAAUUUGACUUAUCUAGUUAGCUAGUGGUGUCAAACUUGUUUGUUUCUUGAACUUAUCACUCUUCGAGUGUGGCGUUCAUCCAAUAUACUGACUGGUUCCUAUCUUGCUAGAUAGUGGGUCAUGGUUCUAUCCAUCUACCAACCACCUUAAAACUUAUAAGAAUCGGGUCCUUAAUCUUUAUUACGGGUUCAUUCUUGUUUUAAGUUCAUUUUACCAUCAUUUCCUCAUUCUAUCUUUAUUAUCAUUCGUUGUUUUUAGCUAUCUUCUUUUAAAAUAGCCCUUUUGUUAAACUGAAACAAAAGUGAGUUCAUAUCAUUUGGUAUUAGAGUUUUUUAAAUUAAGUAUGUUUUUAUCAUUUUCAUACUCCCAAGAUUGAAGAGAAAAAAAGCAUAAAAAAAUUCGAUUAAAAAAAUUUUGUAUUAAAAAAAAGUGUUGUGCAUACAAAUUGCAAAAUUGCAAAAUGGGGGUUUCGAUUUUGAAUCUUUUCAAACAAAAAAAAGGAAGUUAGCUUGAAAAGUUAUUUCCCAAUUUUACUCAUCCAUUUCCUAAAACUGAUUUCCGCCACACUCAUUGAAUUCAUUUCUUUCAAACCUACUUUUCACCUAACAUCAAUCCUUUUUGUUUUUAGCCCUUUAAAAUCGACCUACAAGCUUGCUAAUAGGUUUAAGGUAAUCCUAAAGAACUUUGAGAGGUGAAUUUGAAAGGUAAAAGACAUAGAAUGGAGAGUUUCAAUCAAAGAGGUAAAAGCCAAAAUCUGAGUGAAACAGGAGUGGAGAGCUCAUCUUUGUUUUCCUUUGCGAGAGAUUAGUGAGGAUUUUGAAUUUGGUGAAGUUCAUAUUCUAUUUAAUUUUUCUUUUUUUCUUUCCUAAUACUUUGUUGAAAUCAUGUCCCAAGAACUUUUUGAGUUUGAAUUGCAAAUGCUGUUGAAAGAAAUGAGAAGGAUUAUGCAAUCUGAAACCGAGAAAAUGCAAAAAAGUUAGAUUGUAUAGAAGUAAGAUCGUCAAGGAUUCUAUCGUCCUAUGAUUUCUUGAAAAGAGAUCCAAGUUGUGAUUCCUAUUCGUCGAGGAAUUUAAGUCAGAAAAAAGUAAACCACGAGCUUGGAGCCUUUCGAGGUAACAAUCGAGAAGGCACAAGUAUCUCUUCGAGUGCACUAAAAUACUCAUCCAUUAAGGUUCAAUCACGAAGAGUUGAUCGUGUUUUAUCUGUAAAUCCUUCAACUCUUACCCAACAAAAAUCUUCUCAUUCUGAUUCUUUUAUGUCAACCCCAUCUUGUAACGAAAGAAUGAGAGAAAAGGAAAUUGAAAGAAAAAAAAGAUAAGUAGAACUUCAUGAACCAUCCGAUGAAGAAGAAGAAGACUUACCAUAUGCUGUCGAUGGUGAAGCCUUGUCAUCACGAGGAGUUUAAGCAUUCAAAGUGUGGAGAACGAGCAGCAAUGUGAAAAUAUAUUUCACACCCGCUGUCAUGUCCAAGGUAAAGUCUGUAGAGUCAUCAUUAAUGGUGAAAGUUCCACAAACAUGGCCAGCACUAUGAUGGUGGAAAAGCUUGGUUUAACCACUACCAAGCAUCCACACCCCUAUAAGCUGCAAUGGCUUAACGAUGGAGGCGAACUUAAGGUUACCAAACAAGUGAUCGUUGCCUUUUCCAUUGGCAAGUAUCAAGAUGAGGUUGUGUGCAACGUGGUGCCUAUGCACACCUGCCAUUUGCUGCUAGGAAGGCCAUGGCAAUUGGAUCGAAGGGUCAUUCAUGAUGGCUAUACCAAUAGGUAGACAUUUAAGCAUCAAGGGAAGAAAGUAACCUUAGUACCGCUUACUCCAAAAAUAAGUGUAGGAUGAUCAACUUAAGUUAAACUCUUUUGUUGUAAAAUCGAGAGUGAGUGAGGUAAAAGAAAGUGAAUUAAAAAAAUGAGAAAAAAAUAGAAAAGAAAAAGAAAUUGAAAGAAAAGAGAAAGAAAAAGAGUGCGAGCAAGAAAAGAACUUUGAAAAAGAAUUCGAGAGUGAAAAGAGGAAAAGGAGAGCAAAAGAAAAGAAAAUGAGAAAAGUGAAUGUUUCAUUGAGAUUAAAGAAAUAAAAGAGACUGUGGAAAAAGAAAGAGAGUUUGAAAAUGAGAUUGAAAAAGAAAAGAGUGAAAAAGAUGAAAGUGAUCAAGAAAAAGUGAGGAAUGUCCUAACUAACCCACAAUCGAGUUUGCCUCGUGAAUUUUUUUCUUUUCAGAUCACUAAAGAUUCAUUUGACAAGUUCCAACUUUACUACCUGACCGACGAGAGACGAUUCCGAUUAAUCGAAAGAGGUUAGUUGGAAAGUAAAAAUGUUCUUCACAUCUCCGAAGGUAAGCAAGGUAAGGAACUUUUCGAGAUUCAUUCAGAUUGGUACUCUUUGACUUUCGUUGAUAAGUUUGCCCAUGUUGUUUAUCUUAAAGAAAUUCUUUAUAAUGACUUGUUUAGUUGUUAUACAUUGAAUAAAGUUGCUGAAUUUGUCCAGAAUAGUGUCUUGAAAUAUUUCUUUCAUCAUUUGUUUCAUGUUGAUUCAAAUAACAUAAGUUGCAAGAUGAUUUGGACGUAGAUGACAUUGUCCCAACUAUAUGUCAGCAAAACUUGAUUGUCAUAUGUAAUAAAGAGUUUUCAUGUACAAAGCUUAAUUCGUUUGAUUUAGAUUGCUAUGUGAAUUAUUUAAAUCCAUGUGAGAAAAUUUUGUGGAUAUGUCUGCCUGUUCGAAGGAAUUUUGAAAGUUCUGAUUGUUUGCACAUAUUUAUGCCUAAAUUUCAUUUGUGUGAAUUGUUGCUGAAGAAAAAUUUUCUAUUGCAUUCAAAAAUAAGUGAUUACAACCCUAUGUUCGAAAUUGGAGUAAAUUUUCCUAAAUUAUUGUUGAAAGAAGGUGAGCAUCGUAGUUCUAUCUUGUUUAAACAUGUUGGUCAUUUUCAAUUGCUUCAUUAUUUAUCAUCAUUUUUGAAAACCAAAUAUGUGAACUCUGAUAUGUUCAAAGUCAAAAUCAACUCUUUGAUUUCGGGGAUUAUUGUCUUACAUUCUGGUUUCGAGGAUUUAAACAUGUUUUGCAUGUUUAUAACUCUCAAUUACUUUAUGUUUCUUCUAUGUUGUCAGCUAUGAAACUUUGAAGUCAGAUUGAAAUGGUAAGACAAAACCUUGUUUUUGAUCCCGAAGUUAACCUAAGUUUACAUCUUUUGGAAGGAACGCUUGAUAUUCAUUAUGUUUAUACAAAUUGCAACAUCUUUGAAUUGUUCCAAGAUGGUGUAAGUAAUACAUUGAAAGAAAUCCUUCAAUUUAAUUUUUUUACUGAAAUUGUUCUUGACUUUCAGGUUCCGAAAAUAUUUGUGUUAAACUUGAUAGAAGGAAGAUAUAAUUUAAGGAAUCGUGAACAACAAAAAUUCUUUUCCAGCAAAUGGCCUGAUUUAAGAAUGAAUCGUUUUGAAAUGUUGCUACCUAUAAAUGAUGGUCCGUUCCAAGUGUUGGAGCCAAUCGUUGAUAACUCAUAUAGAUUGGAUCUACCAGGUAAGUAUCCUUUACGUGCGAGUUUUAACGUAUCUAACUUGUCUCUUGUUGAUGUAGGCAACGAUUUGAGGACAAAUCGCUUUGAAGAGGGAGGAAUGAUACGAACUCGCCCAAGGACUCAAUCAAAGCCAUUUGAGAUCCAAUCGAGCUACCUAGUGGACCGAUCACUCGAGCCUGAGCUAAGCGAUUCAAAGAAGCGAUGAUAUCGCCUCUGGUUGAACAAACCUGAGAGGAAGCUACAAUGGGACUCAGUAAUCAUGCGUUGGAUGGCCCAACAAGCGCACUUUACCAUCUAAUUCAAGCUGAAUCUGACUUAGCUAGUUAACUCAGCUGCUAAGACUUAGACAUUUUAAUUAUGUUAAUCACAUUAAUUGUGUUUAGUUUCCUACAACUUUAUUACUUGUCUGAUUAUUUUGUUUAUUAAUUGGGUCUCAGUUUGUAUAGCAUUAAGUGCGUCCGAAUUGUCCUAGUGAUUACUUUGAUUUAUGUUUAUUAAGUGUGUCCUAAUUCAAACAACAUUAAUACAUGUUUUUAAGUUAGACGUCUUAAUGUUGUCUUAGUCUAAUACAUAUUUAAUUUGUCUUGUUGAUACUUUAACCAAGUGUUUAUUAUUUUUUUACAGGAUGUCUAAAUAUGCGGCUGGACAUUCAUGCAUGUUCAGAUUCAUUGAAGUUAUUUAAUGAGAGACAUUCACUCGAUUGUGCAUGCACCUUGAAGCUGAUCACUGCACUCUCCUAGGUGUCCAUUCGACAAGAGGAUGAAUUAUCAUUGAAUCCAGCCCUUAGCUGAUCAGCCAACCUUUCAAAACCUGGUGUUCACACUCAAGACUAUUCCUUUCCAAGUGUUCACACCAAUGACCAUUCGGGUGCCACCAUUUCAUUCAAUUGUUGUUCAUGCAUUUGGCAUAUCAAGGAAGUAUUCAUUCCAGCUUUUAAACACCUUUGACCGAACCAACUGAAUGCAUCUUCAGCUUAGCAACUAAACCUACUCCAAGGCUGUUCAGGAACACCAAAUGAUAAAGCACCAAGUCAGUUCGGGCAUUUUAAUGGACAGUUGAUCAUUAAGUCAUUCAUUGGAUUGUUUCAGCUGAAAAUUGAUUCAACAUUAGUUUAAUUUAUUUGCAAUCAAUUUGAGGCUAUUUGGUUGGAACUUUGGCAGCCUAUAAAUAGCUAUUUUGUAAAUAAUUUGAAGGUUACUUAACUUUUGAUAUUUUAUGAAAUAUAACAAACUUUUUGAGUUGUUCA